rnacentral:rRNA from 1 species
CUGGCUCAGAACGACGCUGGCGGCGCGUUUAAGCAUGCAAGUCGAGCGGCAAGGGCCUUCGGGCCCCUAGAGCGGCGGACGGGUGAGUAACACGUGGACAAUCUGCCCCCCGGCCCGGGAUAGCCCAGGGAAACCUGGAUUAAUACCGGAUGAGACGGGACCCGCGAUGGCGGGACCCGGGAAAGGCGCUGCGGCGCCGCCGGGGGAUGAGUCUGCGUCCCAUUAGCUAGACGGCGGGGUAACGGCCCACCGUGGCGACGAUGGGUAGCCGGCCUGAGAGGGUGGACGGCCACAUUGGAACUGAGACACGGUCCAGACUCCUACGGGAGGCAGCAGCUAAGAAUCUUCCGCAAUGGGCGAAAGCCUGACGGAAGCGACGCCGCGUGAACGAAGAAGGCCGUGAGGUUGUAAAGUUCUUUUCGGGAGGGGGAACAACCGUGGCAGGGAAUGGCCGCGGGAUGACGUGAAUCCCGGAAUAAGCCCCGGCUAACUACGUGCCAGCCGCGGC